rnacentral:rRNA from 1 species
CCUACGGGGGGCAGCAGUGGGGGAUAUUGCACAAUGGGGGAAACCCUGAUGCAGCGACGCCGCGUGGGUGAAGAAGCGCCUCGGCGCGUAAAGCCCUGUCAGCAGGGAAGAAAAUGACGGUACCUGGAGAAGAAACCCCGGCUAACUACGUGCCAGCAGCCGCGGUAAUACGUAGGGGGCAAGCGUUAGCCGGAUUUACUGGGUGUAAAGGGGGCGCAGACGGCGAUGCAAGUCAGGAGUGAAAGCCCGGGGCGCAACCCCGGGACUGCUCUUGGAACUGCGUGGCUGGAGUGCAGGAGGGGCAGGCGGAAUUCCUGGUGUAGCGGUGAAAUGCGUAGAUAUCAGGAGGAACACCGGUGGCGAAGGCGGCCUGCUGGACUGCAACUGACGUUGAGGCUCGAAAGCGUGGGGAGCAAACAGGAUUAGAUACCCCUGUAGUC